UGCCAGACUCCUACGGGAGGCAGCAGUGGGGAAUAUUGCACAAUGGGGGAAACCCUGAUGCAGCGACGCCGCGUGAGUGAAGAAGUAUUUCGGUAUGUAAAGCUCUAUCAGCAGGGAAGAAAAUGACGGUACCUGAUUAAGAAGCCCCGGCUAACUACGUGCCAGCAGCCGCGGUAAUACGUAGGGGGCAAGCGUUAUCCGGAUUUACUGGGUGUAAAGGGAGCGUAGACGGCAGCGCAAGUCUGGAGUGAAAGGCGGGGGCCCAACCCCCGGACUGCUCUGGAAACUGUGUAACUGGAGUGCAGGAGAGGCAGGCGGAAUUCCUAGUGUAGCGGUGAAAUGCGUAGAUAUUAGGAGGAACACCAGUGGCGAAGGCGGCCUGCUGGACUGUAACUGACGUUGAGGCUCGAAAGCGUGGGGAGCAAACAGGAUUAGAUACCCCCGUACG
rnacentral:rRNA from 1 species